GUUUUUAUAGUUUAAUAAAAAUAUUGAUUUUGUAAAUCAAAGAUAUAAAAAUUUAAAAACU
rnacentral:tRNA from 1 species